UGUUUCUGGGGAGACAAUAACCCGACGGACCAGUUGCAGGAACCCAAAACAUGGUGGGUGUGUCUUAUCAUGAUUCAUAAAAUACUGAUAAUGGAUUUUUGUGCUAAUAGUUAGGCUAACACACUUACUGUUCAUCUUUUCUUUCUCUCAGCGCAGUUCUCAGCAUAUUUUGGGUUAUUGUCUCCCCAGAAACACUUCCCUUGUGCUUUUGGAAAUCAGUUUUUUCCUAUUUCCGUUGUGUUUUGUGUGCUUUUGCAGCGUUUUUCUUAUUGCUGGUGUUUUCUUUAGUUGCAGUCCGUUUGGCCUCUCAGGGCCACCGUAAAGUUGUCCUAAGAUGGCACACUAUCUCGUAUCAGUUCAGUGACAUAAAUGAUAAAAUGCAGAUUUGAUUUGAGUAAAACAACAUUUUCUACUCAGCCUUUUUGCAUUUCCUCAUUUCUUAUUUUAGCUUGCACAUUAUUUCUUUCUCUCAACAGGUGAAAAAAAAAUCCUCCCCUGAAGUGUUAAUGGGUAAAUGUGACACUGCAAUCAACACAUCAGUGCAGGAUUUUUACGCCCUCGAGCACGAAAUAAAGAGCAAAGUAAAACGAUAGUAUUCACCUCAUCUAAUGAGAACCACAUGCACCUGCUUUGCUUUGCUAGCUAAUAUAUUGAAAGUAAAAACUAACAAGUAGCUAAUUUUAUUUAAUGUGAGUGCAUUUCAAUACAUUUAAAAAACACAUUUUUCACUGUCAGUCUUUGAAUAUUUCAGUAUAUUUUCCAGUGUGUGUCACAUGUAUGUGCGCUGUGUAGCAGCACAGCGUAAAAUGACAGUACAAUGCAGAUGUGAUGCUGUAAAUCAGUCGAGUGUAUUUAAUCGUGUUUCUCUGCUUGCAUGAAAUUAAAUGUCAUGUUUUCACCUCUUGCAGGUUUUCUGUUGACGAUACUCAGACUCUCUCAGGCGCUGUGUGCCUCACAUUUCCUCAUUCAUGUCUGUUUAAGCUCUAAUUCACACGCACUGAGGUCACACUCUCGGUUUGGAGCAUAAAAGAGCAGCGGGACGACGGACACGAGCCACACACUCCUGAAGGCUGCUGGGAGAGGCACGGGAGGGCGUCUCUGUCUGGACCUGCGUCGCUAUGGGUCUUCAGUCCAGCACUGCACAACAGCAGCAGCAGAUUUGGAGGGCGUUUGGCUCGGUUCAUCGGCUCUGAACGAGCGGCACCGCGGUGGCUCUGAUUGGCUGGCUGGACAUCCACUGAGCGCGACUUCAGGUGACGGAGAGGUUUAAGCUCGUGUUGGUGAGACGGCUCAGUGAGCCCGGUGACAGAGGAAGGAGAAAGACCAGCAAAGAGGUUUGACCAGGCGUGACCGCCGCCCCGCCCGGGACAAAUUCCUGACAGUUAUCAUGACCACUGGACGAGGACAGCGAGGCUUUCAUCUCAGAGGUCAGAUUUACUACUGAAACCACUGAGGAGAGCUGAACCCUCAGCACUAAGUGGAACAAAGAAAAACACUGAACGCUGUGAUCUAACUCAGAACAUUCCCGCUCCCACGUUUUACUCCAUCUUUCAAGUGGAAGUCUGAAUCCGGGCUUUGGGUUGUUCCCAUCUCUUCGGACUGGUUCUUGACAUGUCAAGAAAUGAUUUUGUGACUUUUAGUAAAUCUUCUGAGGCUUCAGAUGAGCCAAAGGACAAACCCAUGAAUGUCAGCAUCAGCGUGUCCUCUCCUCUGUCUUUCAUGCCUUCACUUCACCACAGGGGUCCCUAAUCCAGGAGGAGUUAAACCUCUCCUCCAUUCAGGCAGCAUAGAGACGAACAGACCCAAUUACACAAAGGAAGACAUGGACAAAGAAAGAACACAGAGAGGAACCUGAUGGACAUGAGAAAAGAGACAAAAGGUCAAACUUAAUGCAGUGCAGUGCUCAGAAAACGACCAAAAAAAGGCGGGUAGAUGAAGUUAAACUGACAGAAAGACGGGAAAAGGAGGAAUGAAAGGACAGGUGGCAGAGGUCAGGCUGAACGCCUUGCACUGGAGAGUAACGAAACUAAAGAGCAAAGUGGGAAAAGUAGGAGAUUACUGGGGGGAACAGCAUUGGCCAGAAGCCAGAGAGACCAUUAGCAAAGUUGGUCCGGUCAGUGUAGCGUAGCACCGACGUACAUUUAAAAACUCUGCUUCCAUCUCACAUUUCACACGCUCUGCAAUCCUGCUUUCAACCUCUGCUGCGGCGAUGUUGGCGCACCUCGUUCUCAGGUCACAGAAGAAGAAAAACCUGAACUGGGAGGUGAAAUAAUCCAUGUGGGUAGCACCGGAAAAGUCAGACCUGCAAUGCUUCAGUUCACUUACACAAUCUUAUAUUAUUAAAGAGCCGAUGUGUUGAUUAACUGGCUGUCACACAACCAUGUAUCACCGUCUUUCCACAUGAGGCUUUGCCUGAGUCACAAGCAUAGAAAGUCUCUUUUUAUGGUGGUGCACUGACUUCAGAGGGGACACGAGUCUUUGUGAUCUGUGGGCUUUAUCACAAAAACCACAAAAUCGAAAAACAGAAUCAAUCAUGCUGCCAGGAGUACAGACCCUGAAUAUGUCUUUACACUUACAGGACAACAGAGCUUUCACCAGGUUUCUGUCUGAUAGUAUCAAAACAACUCUUUGAUUGGUCAAAUCACAGGACAGUUCUCCGCUCAGGCCCAGAGAAGCAGCAGCAUUUCGCUGUCAUAUUGAGAUGUGUGGGAGCACCUUAGAGACCCAACCGCACGACCCACGUGUCAAACUCAAACGAUCGUUAACGCUGAUCGGGAGAAAAAAGUCCAAGGAGCGAGACAUGGAGUUAAAUCUGAGAACUCUAAGAAUACUAGGAAACUGGGAAAUCAGACUGAAGGAACACAGCUUAGAGAGACAACACGGCAAAGGACAAAGGAGGACUGAGACAAUAUAUACAAAAGCUAUACGGAGACAACUUUGCUAAACAGUGGGAAGUUAAACAAGAUCAAAAUAAAACAGGAAGUAAAACAGGAGAAACGUGACACAGGAGACACCGAAGGACACAAAACACAACAGGAAACUAACAGAAAGUAACUGUAACUAACACGAAGUAAUACAAAGUGUCAGAAGAUAAAUGAGGCUUGCAAACACAAAAGGAAAACUAAAGACUGAACAACCCAGACACGCUGAAGCCAAAGUGGGAUACAAACGUAAAUUAUCCUCAAAACAGAAUCACAAACCCACCCAGGGACCGUGACACUGUGUGUGGAGCUCGAUGUGUGGAACGGUCCAGCUGAUUAUCGAUAAAGUUACCGAAAUAAGCCGCUAUAAAAAUAGCACAUCGGAGCAGACGCCGACACUGUAGGGAUAACAGGAUGAAGUUUGGGUGACGUCAUCAUGUCAUGAGAGAAUGUCAUGUGAAAUCUUCAAUAUGUAAAAUUCAUCAUUAAUGUAGCAAAAGUUCAUCAAAGUGCUUCAAUUAAAAUAACAAAGUAAAUAUGAAUAAAUACAUUUAUUGAUUGUUGCAUAUCUAAAGUUCUUCCUUCAUUAAAAUAUUAAACCGUGUGCUUUGUAUAAAAUGUCAAACAAUAUUUAAAGAGAGUUAUUGAUUCUUCAGCCUUUAACUUUAUCAAUAAAAUGUUUAUGGGUUUGUAAUUAAAAUAAAAACAGAUACAAACAAACAAACAACUACAUAACCAAGUUUAGCUGCUCACAAAGCAGCAGGACGAAGGUUUUGGUGUUUGACGUGUUUGUUUUUACAGCUGCUUUAUAAAUCAUGUAUUAUGCUUGGAUUCACGGUGCAGACGCUCAAACGUCUGUGACCUGCUGCUUACAAACACUACAGCUGUUAGUACUGCUGCUGUGCUGGGUGAGAACAGAAGCACACUCCUCCUCUGAGGUCAUCGACACUGAUUUAAUUGGUCAUUUUUAAAAACAUCUUGUGUUUCAAGUUUCCUGGAAACGAAAUGUUCCGACUAAAAGAACAACAGUAACCAUCCGAGGUGGCAGAACGGGCCACGCCCACCGCGCUGAAACGUUUGCUCCAUGUUCAUGUGGUGCUGAUGGAGGGAGGAACGGCGGCUCCUACAACAACAGGCCGCCGAGUGGCAGUUGGGAUGCCCGCUGACGCCUGCGGACGAGGACCGACACCGCCGCGAUGACCUGUUUGUUUAACCUCUUCACCCCACCCCCGAGGAGAGGUCGAGGUAGCCAGCCAGCAGGACCCCCUUUCUCCUCCUCCUCCUCUUCUCCUUGUUCUUCUCGUCCAUGUCCUCUCCCGCUGCUCCCCUCCCGCUCUCAUACAGACCCACAAAGACCUCCUCGCGCUUCCCACGCCGUGUCGUUACCUCAAUUACAUCACAUGUCAUCAAGCACACCAGGGAUUUGGCCUGCUCGGGUUUUCCCUUGUGCCAAGUAUAUGGUUGGCUGUGGAGGAAAUGCCUGUGAGAUCCUAAUCACUACUUUCUUCUCUGCCAAGGUUUAAACGGGAAGUUUGGUGCAGUUUCCUUUGUGUUGUCUAAACGGCGCUGUCACAGUCACUGACAUGUAAACUCUGCUGCCUGCGUCACGCUGCAGAGUCAACGAUGUCUGUAAGUCAGUGCUCGGUCGUCAUUCUUUUCUCCCCGUUUUCAUGAAGCAGAUUCCUUUGCUGUACUUUGGAUUUUGAAGAAGGCAGCUGCUCAUUUCCACAUCCAGAGCAGCUUUGCAUGAUUCACAGUUUAAAAUGAGCCAUAUUUAUCUGAUACUUUACCUUGGAGAAUCCCCUCAGUGUCACGCUCCUGGAUUGUUUGACCCAGAGUUUUUGGACUUUCUAUUUUUGUUUAUUUAGAUAUUUUGAUUCUUGGUUUGAUCAUUGCUCAUAUUUUCAUCAUGUAGUCUCCUUUUAUCGUGUAUUUAGACUUUAGUCCGUUCUUAGUUCCUGGUUGAGUUUAGUUCUUCCCUCGGUGUUUAAUCCUCCCAGUGUUGCCAACUCCUCAGUAAGGAAAAUCGCUAUUGGCUGUCCUGCAAGUCGCUAG